rnacentral:rRNA from 1 species
AGUGAACGCUGGCGGCGUGCUUAACACAUGCAAGUCGAACGAGAACGGGUUAUAGCUUGCUAUAAUUGUCAGCUAAGUGACGCACGGGUGAGUAAUGUAUAGGUAAUAUGCCUCUUACUAAGGGAUAACAAAUGGAAACGUUUGCUAAUACCUUAUACUCCUUAUUAACAGAAGUUAAUAAGGGAAAGAUUUAUUGGUAAGAGAUUAGCCUGUAUUGUAUCAGUUAGUUGGUGGGGCAAUGGCUUACCAAGACUAUGACACAUAACUGGUUUGAGAGGAUGAUCAGUCACACUGGAACUGAGACACGGUCCAGACUCCUACGGGAGGCAGCAGUGGGGAAUAUUGCACAAUGGACGAAAGUCUGAUGCAGCAACGCCGCGUGGAGGAUGACACAUUUCGGCGCGUAAACUCCUUUUAUAUGAGAAGAUAAUGACGGUAUUAUAUGAAUAAGCACCGGCUAACUCCGUGCCAGCAGCCGCAGUAA